UACGUAGGUGGCAAGCGUUGUCCGGAAUUAUUGGGCGUAAAGAGCUCGUAGGUGGCUUGUUGCGUCUGCCGUGAAAGCCCGUGGCUUAACUACGGGUCUGCGGUGGAUACGGGCAGGCUAGAGGCUGGUAGGGGCAAGCGGAAUUCCUGGUGUAGCGGUGAAAUGCGCAGAUAUCAGGAGGAACACCGGUGGCGAAGGCGGCUUGCUGGGCCAGUUCUGACGCUGAGGAGCGAAAGCGUGGGGAGCGAACAGG
rnacentral:rRNA from 1 species